CAUAAGCGGAGGAAAAGAAACCAACAGGGAUUGCCUUAGUAGCGGCGAGUGAAGCGGCAAAAGCUCAAAUUUGAAAUCUGGCUCUUUCAGAGUCCGAGUUGUAAUUUGAAGAAGGUAUCUUUGGGUCUGGCUCUUGUCUAUGUUUCUUGGAACAGAACGUCACAGAGGGUGAGAAUCCCGUGCGAUGAGAUGAUCCAGGCCUAUGUAAAGUUCCUUCGAAGAGUCGAGUUGUUUGGGAAUGCAGCUCUAAGUGGGUGGUAAAUUCCAUCUAAAGCUAAAUAUUGGCGAGAGACCGAUAGCGAACAAGUACAGUGAUGGAAAGAUGAAAAGAACUUUGAAAAGAGAGUGAAAAAGUACGUGAAAUUGUUGAAAGGGAAGGGCUUGAGAUCAGACUUGGUAUUUUGUAUGUUACUUCUUCGGGGGUGGCCUCUACAGUUUAUCGGGCCAGCAUCAGUUUGGGCGGUAGGAGAAUUGCGUUGGAAUGUGGCACGGCUUCGGUUGUGUGUUAUAGCCUUCGUCGAUACUGCCAGCCUAGACUGAGGACUGCGGUUUAUACCUAGGAUGUUGGCAUAAUGAUAUAACU
rnacentral:rRNA from 1 species